AUUGAACGCUGGCGGCAUGCCUUACACAUGCAAGUCGAACGGCAGCACGGGAGCAAUCCUGGUGGCGAGUGGCGAACGGGUGAGUAAAGUAUCGGAACGUGCCCAGUCGUGGGGGAUCACGUAGCGAAAGUUACGCUAAUACCGCAUACGAUCUAUGGAUGAAAGCGGGGGAUCGCAAGACCUCGCGCGAUUGGAGCGGCCGAUAUCCGAUUAGGUAGUUGGUGGGGUAAAGGCUCACCAAGCCGACGAUCUGUAGCUGGUCUGAGAGGACGACCAGCCACACUGGGACUGAGACACGGCCCAGACUCCUACGGGAGGCAGCAGUGGGGAAUUUUGGACAACGGGCGCAAGCCUGAUCCAGCCAUGCCGCGCGCAGGAUGAAGGCCUUCGGGUUGUAAACUGCUUUUGUACGGAACGAAAAGGUUUGACUUAAUACGUUGGACUCAUGACGGUACCGUAAGAAUAAGCACCGGCUAACUACGUGCCAGCAGCCGCCGUAA
rnacentral:rRNA from 1 species